CGAACGGGUGAGUAACGCGUGAGGAACCUGCCUCAAAGAGGGGACAACAGUUGGAAACGACUGCUAAUACCGCAUAAGCCCACGGGUCGGCAUCGACCUGAGGGAAAAGGAGCAAUCCGCUUUGAGAUGGCCUCGCGUCCGAUUAGCUAGUUGGUGAGGUAAUGGCCCACCAAGGCGACGAUCGGUAGCCGGACUGAGAGGUUGAACGGCCACAUUGGGACUGAGACACGGCCCAG
rnacentral:rRNA from 1 species